GUUCCCUGGUUAAUCUGAGUCUCACUAUAAAGGUACUCCCUUCCUUUAUUCCUUUAUUCAUUCAUUUAUUUAUUUUUUCUCUUUGGAAAGAGUUGAAGUGUUUACUUUGUUAAAGAUAUUUUAAUCUCCCACAAGAACAGAAUACAAAAGGAAGACUCUUUUCUCUCCUACUCUGCCCAACAUACAGAUCUCAACAAAGUACUGGGAAAGGAUUUGACAAGAAGUAGGAACAGACUUUUCUCAAGACAAUGCAGCUAUAAACAAGAGUCAGGAAAACAGAUUAAUUUGGUGGUCAGAUAAUCUUUGAAAAUCCUUGGAUUGACUAUGGUGUAUAUCUGACUAUGUACUGGCAUUUGGAAAAGAAAUUGGAAAAUUAGAUUUUGGCUACAGUAUUUGUUUCUUUCUGUUUUUCCUUUAGUCUAAACACACAAAUCCAUAUAGUGCAGUAGAAAUUUAGCAGUCAUAUUAUGUAGUUAUCAACACCAGAAAACUUUUUAUGAUGAUGGUACAGCUUAAAAAAAUAAUCAAAAUCUACCAACACUUCCUUGCAGUGGAUUGUAUAUUCUAAAUGUAGCUGGUUCUCUGAUGCCACACCUUGAAGCUGUGAAUAAACCCUGAUACUUACAAACA
rnacentral:lncRNA from 1 species